AGUGCCCCUUUAGGCAGCAUGUAAUGCUAAAAUAGGAACCACACGGAGAUUAGCAUGGUCCCCACAUGAGGAUGAUAUGCAAAUUCAUUAAGUGUUCCAUAUUUUU
rfam:Tupaia chinensis contig197028, whole genome shotgun sequence.